AUUGAACGCUGGCGGCAUGCCUUACACAUGCAAGUCGAACGGCAGCAUGAUCUAGCUUGCUAGAUUGAUGGCGAGUGGCGAACGGGUGAGUAAUACAUCGGAACGUGCCCUGUAGUGGGGGAUAACUAGUCGCAAGAUUAGCUAAUACCGCAUACGACCUGAGGGUGAAAGUGGGGGACCGCAAGGCCUCAUGCUAUAGGAGCGGCCGAUGUCUGAUUAGCUAGUUGGUGAGGUAAAGGCUCACCAAGGCGACGAUCAGUAGCUGGUCGGAGAGGACGAUCAGCCACAUGGGGACUGAGACACGGCCCAGACUCCUACGGGAGGCAGCAGUGGGGAAUUUUGGACAAUGGGCGAAAGCCUGAUCCAGCAAUGCCGCGUGUGUGAAGAAGGCCUUCGGGUUGUAAAGCACUUUUGUCCGGAAAGAAAUGGCUCUGGUUAAUACCUGGGGUCGAUGACGGUACCGGAAGAAUAAGGACCGGCUAACUACGUG
rnacentral:rRNA from 1 species